UCACCAUCACCAUCGCUACCACCACC
rnacentral:siRNA from 1 species